rnacentral:rRNA from 1 species
AACACGUGGAUAACCUACCUAUAAGACUGGGAUAACUUCGGGAAACCGGAGCUAAUACCGGAUAAUAUAUUGAACCGCAUGGUUCAAUAGUGAAAGACGGUUUUGCUGUCACUUAUAGAUGGAUCCGCGCCGCAUUAGCUAGUUGGUAAGGUAACGGCUUACCAAGGCAACGAUGCGUAGCCGACCUGAGAGGGUGAUCGGCCACACUGGAACUGAGACACGGUCCAGACUCCUACGGGAGGCAGCAGUAGGGAAUCUUCCGCAAUGGGCGAAAGCCUGACGGAGCAACGCCGCGUGAGUGAUGAAGGUCUUCGGAUCGUAAAACUCUGUUAUUAGGGAAGAACAAAUGUGUAAGUAACUAUGCACGUCUUGACGGUACCUAAUCAGAAAGCCACGGCUAACUACGUGCCAGCAGCCGCGGUAAUACGUAGGUGGCAAGCGUUAUCCGGAAUUAUUGGGCGUAAAGCGCGCGUAGGCGGUUUUUUAAGUCUGAUGUGAAAGCCCACGGCUCAACCGUGGAGGGUCAUUGGAAACUGGAAAACUUGAGUGCAGAAGAGGAAAGUGGAAUUCCAUGUGUAGCGGUG